UACGUAGGGUGCAAGCGUUGUCCGGAAUUAUUGGGCGUAAAGAGCUCGUAGGCGGCUUGUCGCGUCGGCUGUGAAAACCUGGGGCUCAACCCCGGGUCUGCAGCCGAUACGGGCAAGCUAGAAUUCGGUAGGGGAGAGUGGAAUUCCUGGUGUAGCGGUGAAAUGCGCAGAUAUCAGGAGGAACACCGGUGGCGAAGGCGGGUCUCUGGGCCGAAAUUGACGCUGAGGAGCGAAAGCGUGGGGAGCAAACAGG
rnacentral:rRNA from 1 species